rnacentral:rRNA from 1 species
GAAAGUUAAAUUUUAUUUUUUGUUUUUGGAUUAAUUUAUACUUUAAAGUAUUAAUAAUUUUAUUAUUUAGUAUAGAAAAAAUUUGUUUUAAUUAUAGUGGAAUAGUACAGUGAUGGAAAUUUUUAUUUUUAUGAAAAGAAAAAUUUAAAUUUUGUACCUUGUGCAUCAGGGUUUAUUUAUUAUGAAUUAUUUAUUUAAAUUUCUCGAAUUCUAAAGAGUUAAUUCUUUAAUUAUUUUAUUGUUUUAUAAAUAUUUAUAAUAGAGAAUUAGUAAUGAAACGUUAUUCGUUUUAGAAGAUAUCUAGUUUUUUAAGAAAUUUAUUUAAUUGAGUCUUUGUUUAUAAAUGAUUUUUUUUUGGUAAUUUAUUUAUUUAUAAAGAUUUAACUAAGAGGGGAUAAGCUUUUUUAGUAAUUUUUAAAAUUAUAUUAUAUAAAAAUAGGUAAUAGGAUUAGAAAUUUCAAAUUUUAGAAUUAUGUUAUAAUUUACUAUUUUUUAUUAUUAUUUAUAUGUAGUUUAAGUUUUUUAUUAAAAUGAGUAUUCGAAUUAUUGGAUUCUGUAAUAAUGAUAAAAUUAGUAUAAAUUUAUAUAUAAUGUUUUGUUGUUGAAAGGUGAGGUUAAGGAACUCGGCAAAUAUAUUUUUCACCUGUUUACUAAAAACAUGUCUUUUUGAUAAUAAUUUAAGGUCUGAUCUGCCCACUGAGGAAUUAAAUGGCCGCGGUAUUUUGACCGUGCAAAGGUAGCAUAAUAAUUAGUUUUUUAAUUGAAAGCUGGAAUGAAUGAUUUGAUGAGAAAAUAUCUGUCUCAACUUUAUUAAAUUAGAAUUUUACUUUUAAGUUAAAAGGCUUAAAUUUUUAUUGAAGACGAGAAGACCCUAUAGAGUUUUAUAUUUAAUUUAUUAAUUAUUUUUUGGUUUAAUUAUAUUUAAUAAUGAGAAAUAUUUUGUUGGGGUGACAGGAAAAUUAAUUAAACUUUUCUUUAUUUUUUACAUUAGUUUAUGUUUUAUUGAUCCAUUAUUAAUGAUUAUAAGAUAAAAUUACCUUAGGGAUAACAGCGUAAUCUUUUUUAAGAGUUCUAAUCGAAAAGAAGGAUUGCGACCUCGAUGUUGGAUUAAAGAG